GAUGAACGCUGGCGGCGUGCCUAAUACAUGCAAGUCGAGCGGAAAGGCCUCUUCGGAGGUACUCGAGCGGCGGACGGCUGAGUAACGCGUAGGAACGUACCCCAAACUGAGGGAUAACUGCUCGAAAGAGUAGCUAAUACCGCAUGUGCUCUACGGAGUAAAGCUUCGGCGGUAUGGGUACGGCCUGCGUAAGAAUAGCUUGUUGGUAAGGUAAUGGCUUACCAAGGCGACGAUCUUUAGCUGGUCUGAGAGGAUGAUCAGCCAGACUGGGACUGAGACACGGCCCAGACUCCUACGGGAGGCAGCAGUAGGGAAUUUUCCACAAUGGGCGAAAGCCUGAUGGAGCAACGCCGCGUGCAGGAUGAAUGCCUUCGGGUUGUAAACUGCUUUUAUAAGUGAAGAAUAUGACGGUAACUUAUGAAUAAGGAUCGGCUAACUCCGUGCCAGCAGCCGCCGUAA
rnacentral:rRNA from 1 species